rnacentral:rRNA from 1 species
GAUGAACGCUGGCGGCGUGCCUAAUACAUGCAAGUCGAACGGUAAGGCUCUGCCUUUGUGGGUUGCACGAGUGGCGAACGGGUGAGUAAUACGUGAGUAACCUACCCACGACUUCGGGGUAACUCUCUGAAACCGGGGCUUAUACCCGAUAGGGUCUCCUGAUGCCUUGUGGUGGUUGGUAAGUUUCGGCGGUUGGGGAUGGUCUCGCGGCUUAUCAGCUUGUUGGUGGUGUAGUGGCGUACCAGGCCUAUGACGGGGCGGAGGCCUGAGAGGGGGACCGGGCACAUGGGGACAGAGAUACGGGCCGGAGUACUACGGGAGGCAGCGGUGGGGAGUAUAGCACGAUGGAGCAACGCCUGGUGCGGGAACGCGGCGUGCGGGAUGACAGGCUUUGGGGUAAGAGCAGCUUGGUACUGAGACGAAGCCUGAGUGACGGUAAUGGAUAAGAAAGCACCGGCUAACUACGUG